GACGAACGCUGGCGGCGUGCUUAACACAUGCAAGUCGAACGGAAAGACCCUGCUUUUGUGGGGUGCUCGAGUGGCGAACGGGUGAGUAACACGUGAGUAACCUGCCCUUGACUUUGGGAUAACUUCAGGAAACUGGGGCUAAUACCGGAUAGGAGCUCCUGCUCCAUGGUGGGGGUUGGAAAGUUUCGGCGGUUGGGGAUGGACUCGCGGCUUAUCAGCUUGUUGGUGGGGUAGUGGCUUACCAAGGCUUUGACGGGUAGCCGGCCUGAGAGGGUGACCGGCCACAUUGGGACUGAGAUACGGCCCAGACUCCUACGGGAGGCAGCAGUGGGGAAUAUUGCACAAUGGGCGGAAGCCUGAUGCAGCAACGCCGCGUGCGGGAUGACGGCCUUCGGGUUGUAAACCGCUUUCGCCUGUGACGAAGCGUGAGUGACGGUAAUGGGUAAAGAAGCACCGGCUAACUACGUG
rnacentral:rRNA from 1 species